rnacentral:rRNA from 1 species
UUGACCUCGGAUCAGGUAGGGAUACCCGCUGAACUUAAGCAUAUCAAUAAGCGGAGGAAAAGAAACCAACAGGGAUUGCCUCAGUAACGGCGAGUGAAGCGGCAACAGCUCAAAUUUGAAAUCUGACC